AACUGUUGAACACGCUAUCACAAUUAAAUUGAACUUCCUUCUAGAACCAAAUAAUCAACUCUAAAUAUUUGAUGGAUAUCCAAACUUACUUCUAUCCCAUAGUUCACAAACUUAUUAUAGCCUCCUAAUUGACCUUCCUUUUACCGGGAUUCCUGAUGCAUAUUGAGAUAAACAGAUACAUGACUCUAAAUAUCUGACCAAUACACAUAGGCCAUAAGUUAACUUCUUUGCAUAUCCAAAUACAGAAACUAAUUAGCGUUUUAAUUGACAUUCACUCUACCAGGAUUCCUAAUGCUUAGUAAGAUAAACAAAUACUCAGACUCUAAAUAUUUGAUAAAUACCCAAAAGUUAACUUCUUGCGCAUUAUAGAAUAUGCAAAUUCACAAACGAAUUACCAAAGUAUACCUAUCAAUAGCCAACUAAUUCAAUACCCAGAGAAAAUUACUCCAUAAUCUCAGUUAUUAUGCAAUACAUUUAAUUAAAACUAUUAAGCAAUUCAAGACCCGUUUGGUGAAACUUCAAACAAUUUGUCAAUUUGAUUUUCAGAAACAAAAAAUUCAAAGAAUCAAGAACCAAAGAAUUAUCGCAAACAAUAGAAAAGACACAAUCUUGAUAAGAAUUACCCAAAAAAGACAUAGAUAACCGCUAUAUACCUCGUAAAAGUGAGUGAAUCGGGAUUAGAAAGAGAGGAUUUUUGAAGUUUAUGACCCCCACCAAUGGACUGAAUCAAAGUUGACGAACCCAAAGAAGCAGCUAUCGAUGCCAUUCUUGAUUUCGCCGUUCCAAGAUCUUUUGUACUUUCUUUUCUUUUCACUCAAUCUGAAUUCUUGAAGUGAGGCUCAAGGAUGCGAAGACAAUAAUUACCCCCUCAGAAAAUUCACCAAAUUGGACAAGAAAGAAGGAAAUAGAAAUGGGGAAUAUCUGAUUGACACGUGGCGGAUUGAUUUGCAGAAGGAGUGUGGGUUAUCUUGAAUGGUUGGCCAUUCUGAAUUGCUGAGUCAUGGGAGGGAGUGUGUGCAUCAGAAAAUCUGCAUCAGUUUUGUUUUCUACUUCGUUUUUUGUUGAAGAUAUUUGGAUUUUCAUGAAUAGGGAUGUGUUUCACUUGGAAACAAAAGAGAAGGAAAAAGGGGGACACAGAGGUAAAAAUAAAGGACAGGAAAAGUCGGAGGAAAAUAGAUAGGUAACUGAAUUUUGUUCUCAAAUGAAGAUGGAAUUUAUCUGUAAUAUUCUCUUGCUAAUGGCAACUAUUUAGCAUAAAAGGAGAAAAAGAAAUAAAAUAAAAGCAGUUUCUAAUCCAGUUGAACCAGCAGUUUGAUAAAUCCGACAACCCGAUUGACAAUUUAUAUCAAAUUUCAAAAUUUUACUUCUAAAUUUUAAGGUCAAGG
rnacentral:lncRNA from 1 species